rnacentral:rRNA from 1 species
UACGUAGGGGGCUAGCGUUGUCCGGAAUCAUUGGGCGUAAAGAGCGCGUAGGCGGCCAGAUAAGUCCGGUGUGAAAGUCAAAGGCUCAACCUUUGAAUGCCGCUGGAAACUGUCUGGCUAGAGUCCGGAAGGGGCGAGUGGAAUUCCUGGUGUAGCGGUGAAAUGCGCAGAUAUCAGGAGGAACACCGAUGGCGAAGGCAGGUCUCUGGGCCAUAACUGACGCUGAUGCGCGAAAGCCAGGGAGGCGAAACGGG